rnacentral:rRNA from 1 species
ACAUGCAAGUCGAACGGCAGCAUGGUUGUAGCAAUACAGACUGAUGGCGAGUGGCGGACGGGUGAGUAAUACGUAGAGAUCUGCCUUGAAGAGCGGGACAACUCGGGGAAACUCGGGCUAAUACCGCAUGACACCCUGAGGAGGAAAGGCUAGGGGCAACUCUGGCGCUUUGAGAGGAAUCUACGACUGAUUAGCUAGUUGGUGAGGUAACGGCUCACCAAGGCGACGAUCGGUAGCUGGUCUGAGAGGAUGAUCAGCCACACUGGGACUGAGACACGGCCCAGACUCCUACGGGAGGCAGCAGUGAGGAAUAUUGGUCAAUGGGCGUAAGCCUGAACCAGCCAAGUAGCGUGCAAGGAUGACGGCCCCUACGGGUUGUAAACUGCUUUUAUGCGGGGAUAAAGUGCGGCACGUGUGCCGCUUUGCAGGUACCGCAUGAAUAAGGACCGGCUAAUUCCGUGCCAGCCGCCGC